GACGAACGCUGGCGGCGUGCUUAACACAUGCAAGUCGAACGAUGAAACCUAGCUUGCUAGGUCGAUUAGUGGCGAACGGGUGAGUAACACGUGACUAACCUGCCCCUUUCUCUGGGAUAACGCUUCGAAAGGAGUGCUAAUACCGGAUACUCACAUCGAGGCACAUGCCUUGAUGUGGAAAGUUUUUCGGAAAGGGAUGGAGUCGCGGCCUAUCAGCUUGUUGGUGAGGUAACGGCUCACCAAGGCGACGACGGGUAGCCGGCCUGAGAGGGCGACCGGCAACACUGGGACUGAGAACCGGCCCAGACUCCUACGGGAGGCAUCAGUGGGGAAUAUUGCACAAUGGGCGCAAGCCUGAUGCAGCGACGCCGCGUGAGGGAUGAAGGUCUUCGGAUUGUAAACCUCCUUCAGUAGGGACGAAGCGAAAGUGACGGUACCUAAAGAAGAAGCACCGGCUAACUACGUGCCAGCAGCCGCCGUAA
rnacentral:rRNA from 1 species